CCUAUGGGGGGCAGCAGUGGGGAAUCUUGCACAAUGGGGGAAACCCUGAUGCAGCGACGCCGCGUGAACGAUGAAGUCCUUCGGGGCGUAAAGUUCUUUCGGCAGGGAAGACCAUGACGGUACCUGCAGAAGCAGCUGCGGCUAACUACGUGCCAGCAGCCGCGGUAAUACGUAGGCAGCGAGCGUUGUUCGGAGUUACUGGGCGUAAAGGGUGUGUAGGCGGUUGCUUAAGUUUGGUGUGAAAUCUCCCGGCUCAACUGGGAGGGUGCGCCGAAUACUGAGUGACUAGAGUGCGGGAGAGGAUAGUGGAAUUCCUGGUGUAGCGGUGAAAUGCGUAGAUAUCAGGAGGAACACCGGUGGUGUAGACGGCUAUCUGGACCGCAACUGACGCUGAGACACGAAAGCGUGGGUAGCAAACA
rnacentral:rRNA from 1 species